GUUCGCGCGGCUCCUGGUGGGGAUGGAAAAACAACUUUGGCGCCCCCCGGGGGGUGCGGGCGUGGAGGUGGAGGUGGCUGCCAGCGCCCAGCUGUCAAAGGCAGAAACCCCGAGGAAAGGGCGCGAACUUUAUCCCGACUGCAGCAAACCGCGGCGUCGCUUUCCUUUUCGGGCGCUUGCCGGUCUGUGUCCCCUUUGACCAGUUCCUCCUCCCGCACCGCCGCCGCCGCCCCCUCCUCCUUUCCCCCUUCCCCUUUUUCUCUUCCGCCGCGGCGGCCCCGGCGCCCCCUCGCCCCCGCCAACCCAGGUCCUCCGCGCGCCGCCUGACAGAAGGAUGUGAGACCUUGGCACCUGAAACAGCUGCAGCUCUCUUGUGACCAGGAGGGAGUGCACACACCAGGGAUGACAAGAUGUCAAUUACUGUUGGAAGUAAGAAGGAAAGGAGGAAGGUAGGGAGGAAAGAAGGAGAUAAAUAUGGAAACAAAAAAAAGAAAAAGAUCUAGUAUUUGGGAGUAUGCUUGAGAAAACAGAGCUUCAGGAAAAGCUGAGAAUGACCUCUCUUUGGCUGACUCACUGUGACUUUAAAGUUAUAUGUCUUUACAGAACAUGGCUUUUCUGCUGUUGGAACAGGAAGACCAAACAGCUCCCUGAAUCACGUUACCUGCUCCGUAUCCACUGUACCAGUUCUCUAAACUGGCUGAGUAUCGGGAACACCUGGGAAGCUGUUUGUACAAUAGGACUGAAGCCUGCUUUUGUUCUUCCAAAUGCUGCUGAAGUGAAGCUCUACCCAGGACUGACCAUAUAGAAACUGACUUCUCCAGUGCUGACAUCCUCACUUAUGUCCUGCCUACUGGACCAGAAACUGUUGAAUGUUGGUGUAAAUUAAGAUUAAACCAGGAUUUUUUGGCAAAAAUUGACAAGUUGCUUCUAAAAUUUAUAUGGAAUUGCAAGGGACCCAGAUUAGCCAAAACAAUUUUAAAAGCAACUAAUAAAACUGGAAGACUCACACUUCUUGAUUUCAAAAUUUGCUAUAAAGCUGUAGUUAUUAAGACAGUGUGGUAUUGGCAUAAGGAUAAACAAUGAAAUAGAAUGAAACAGAAUUGAGAGUCUAGAAAAAACUUACAUUUAUGGAAUUGAUUUUUGGUGAGAGUGCCAAGACAAUUCAAUGGAGAAAGAGUAGUCUUUUCAACAAAUAGUAUUGGGACAGCAGGAUAUCCAUAUACAAAUGAAUGAAGUUGAACUCUUACCUCACACUUACAAAAAAUUGGUUCAAAGUGAAUCAAAGACAUAAAUGUAAGAGCUCAAACUAUGAAAUUAUUAAUAGAAAAUAUAGACAUAAACCUUUGUGAUCUUAGAUUUAGGCAAUGGUUUCUUAGAUAUGACACCAAAAGUACAAAUGAUAAGAGAAAAAAAUUUUACAAAUUGUACUUCAUCAAAAUUAAAACCUUUGUGUUUCAAAGGACACCAUCAAAAAGUGAAAAGACCAAAAAAAAGUGAAAAGAAAAGUCACAGAAGGGAGGAAAAUAUUUAUAAAUCACAUAUCUACUAAAGGAAUUAUGUCUAGAAUAUAUGAAGAACUCUUACAGCUCAACAGUUAAAACAAAAAUAACCCAGACAAGAAAUGGGCAAAAGAAUAGACAUUUCUUCAAAGAAGAUAUACAAAUGGCCAAUAAACAUGAAAUCAUACACAAAAUCAUUUGUCAUCAGAGAAAUGCAAAUUAAAACACAAUAAGAUACAAUUUCACACCAACUAGGAUGUCUAUAAUAAAAAAGGAAACAGCAGAUGUUGGGGAGGAUAUGGAGAAUUUGCAACAAUCAUUAAAUUUCUGGUACAUUUCUAAAAUGGGGCAGCCAUUUUAGAAGACAUUUUGGCGCUUCCUCAAAAUGUUAAACAUAGAUUUACCAUAAGACACAGCCUUUGUAUGCCUACAUAUAUACCCAAGAGAAUUGAAAACUAAGUCUACAUAAAAACUUGUACAUGAAUAUUCAUGGCAUCAUUAUUAAUAAUAGCUCAAAAAUGGAAACAACCCAAAUGUGCACCAGCUACAGAAUGGAUAAACAAAAUGUUGUAAAUUCAUGAAAUGAAAUAUUAUUCAGCAAUAAAAAGGAAUGAAGUAUUGAUACAUGCUGCAACAUGAAUGGACCUUGAAAGCAUUAUGCUUAGUGAAAGAAGCGAGUCACAAAACGCAACAUACUGUAUGAUCCCAUUUGUAUGAAUUGUUCAGAAUGAGCAAGUAGAUAGAGACACAAAUUAGAUUAGUGAUUGCUAAGGGCUGGUGGGAGAGGGAAAUGGGGUGUGACUGCUAAUUGAUCUGAGGUUUCUUUUUAGGGUGAUGAAAAUGUUCUGGAAUUAAAUAUUGGUGAUGUUUACACAAUUCUAUGAAUAUACUAAAACCUACUGAAUUGCAUACAUAAAAGGCUGAAUUUUAUAUGUGAAUUAUAUGUCAAUAAAGCUAUUAACAAAGAAAAAAAGAUUACGCUGAGAUUUCCUUUUAUUCUUUGGGGCACUCAGAUUUGUACUUCCAUAAGAGUUAGUUCUGAAAUUGCGUUCAUUCACUAUAC